rnacentral:rRNA from 1 species
UACAGAGGUCCCAAGCGUUGUUCGGAUUCAUUGGGCGUAGAGGGUGCGUAGGCGGCGCGGUAAGUCGGGUGUGAAAUCUCGGAGCUUAACUCCGAAACUGCAUUCGAUACUGCCGUGCUUGAGGACUGGAGAGGAGACUGGAAUUUACGGUGUAGCGGUGAAAUGCGUAGAUAUCGUAAGGAAGACCAGUGGCGAAGGCGGGUCUCUGGACAGUUCCUGACGCUGAGGCACGAAGGUCAGGGGAGCAAACGGG